AACAAACGCUGGCGGCGUGCCUAAUACAUGCAAGUCGAACGGGGAAAGCUUUCGGGUGAGUACUAGUGGCGCACGGGUGAGGAACGCGUGGAUAAUCUGCCUUAGAGUGGGGGAUAACUAGUCGAAAGAUUAGCUAAUACCGCAUAAGACCACGAGAGCUGCGGCUUUUGAGGUCAAAGGUUUUUCGCUCUAAGAUGAGUCCGCGUAAGAUUAGCUAGUUGGUGAGGUAACGGCCCACCAAGGCGACGAUCUUUAACUGGUCUGAGAGGAUGAUCAGUCACACUGGAACUGAGACACGGUCCAGACGCCUACGGGAGGCAGCAGGAGGGAAUAGUGCAAAAUGGAGGAAACUCUGAUGCAGCGACGCCGCGUGAGGGAUGAAGGCCUUCGGGGCGUAAAGCUCUGUCGCAGGGGAAUAACACAAUGAAGGUACCCUGUAAGAAAGGAUCGGCUAACUUCGUG
rnacentral:rRNA from 1 species